AUGAUAUUUUAUUCAAUAACAUCAAUACAAAAUAUGGCCGUCUGCUACUUAAACGUAAGCUGCUGCACAUAAUUUCACCGAGCUGUACUGCCAUCAGCGGAGAUUAGUAAUGCAAAACACAUGCGAAAUCACGUUCAAAUUAUACAGUGUAGCGUGUGUGGAGAUUAAGCUUGAUUCUUAUCAUCCUGUGGUUUCGAGUUGUUGAUUUUUUCGAUGUAAAUGUGCAAAAUUCAUAAUAAUUGGUGAUACGUGAUUGUUAAUGGAAGCUUUAGCUGUUUAACAAUGGCUGAAGAAAUAUCGGCUCCUCGAAUUGUGUUCAAGCAAAUGGUACAUAGGGGAAUUCCUUUGUUUGAAUGUGAAAUUGACCGAAUUGAAGCCAUGGACACAUUUGACGAUGACAUCUGGCUUUGUGGAUACCCUAGAUCCGGAAAUACCUUGACACAGGAAAUGACAUACCUUAUACAGACACUCGAUUUUGGCCGUGCAAACUCCGUUUACCUCGAGGACAGAGUGCCUUGGAUUGAUGCCAAAGAUGACCGCUUACAGAAAGUAAAAGGUGUUGAUGCCAUAGAAGAACAGAUCAGACCAAGAUUUGUAAAAUGUCAUCUUCCAUACGAUUUCCUGCCAAGUCAGUUAAAAGAUGGCAAGGGAAGGAUUAUAUACGUAUCUCGAAACGCCAAGGACGUAUUUCAGUCCUACUACCGGAUUAUGCUGUAGGAUGACCAACUUGACACUUCUAAAGAAACCUUAAACACUUUCUUUGAAAACUUCGUGAAAGGCAAAGACCUAUACGGAUUAUGGACCGACCAUAUCAUUGGCUACUGGAAAAAAACGCGAAGACGACAAUGUGCUCUUUCUCAAAUUUGAAGACAUUGUUAAGGAUAUGCCGACGGCCAUUCGAACAAUAGCAACGUUUCUGGGACGAACGUUAGCGGAAGAUGACGUCACAAAAAUAUGCAAACAUUGCCACGUGAACAAUAUGAGGGACAAUCCGAUGGUAAACUUUUCCUACAAGGCAAAGAAUAUGUCGAUUCGCCAAGAAGUGGGAGCAUUUAUAAAUAAAGGAGAACCUGGUGUUUGGCGAAACGUUUUAACUCCGCAGAUGAGUGAACAGAUAGACGUCAUGAUGAAACCACUGGAUGGAACAGGACUUAAGUUUGAAUUUUCAUAAUACAAUGGAAACGAUGGGACAAAUUCAGAUAUAAGACAUGACGAAACCUCUGGAUGGAACGGGAUUCUGGUUUGAAAUGACAAAAUAUAAUGAAAAAUACAGGGACAAUCUCUGAUAGAAGGCACGAUAAAACCUCUUGAUAGAACGGUACUCGAGUUUGAAUUGUCAAAAUACAAUGAAAAAUCAGGAACAAAUUCAGAACAUGAUAUGAUGAAACCCUUGGAUGGUACUGGACUCGAGUUUAAAAUUGUCAUAUGAAAAAAUGGAAACUACAGCGACUAGCUCAGUAACAGGCUUCCUGUUUUAAAACACAAUGUUCAUGGCCUGAUAUACAGUAAAGGGUCGCACUUAUAUAAUACGUUUUAGUGUUUAAGUAAUAUUGCUUGAUACAUCUUUUAUUAGCAUCCGUUUUAUUUAUUCAUUUUGAAUCCAUAUCAUAUUGUUGUUUAUGUUUCCAUUUGUACAUGCAAUGGCUUUGUUUUCAUUGAUAUGCUCAGUUAUGGGCCUUGUUAACAAUUAAACUUAAAACUUGAA